CACAGUUUUGGAACUAUCAGUCCACGGUCAACUGGCUCCAUUGCCUUCAGAACCUCGUUGAGGCAGAAACGUCAUAGGGAAGAGGGUGGCAGAAAAGAACUCACCUCAUGGCAGAGGGAGACACGGAGGCAGAGACAAAGACAGACGACAGACAGAGAGGAAGUGGCCCAGGACAGGAUGCUGCCUUCCAGGCCAGGCUCCGUUAUCCCAUCAGUGGCCUUCACGAUCCAGUCCCUUCCUCCAAAGCGACACCUUAGGACACAGCUUUACCGCGAACCCAAUCUUCAACAGACCACAUGGAAAAGGAAAGGCAGACAGACACCUUUGUGAAAUGACUGGAAGGCAGCUGAAUCAGCUCCGAGUAGGCCCAGAGACACCUGACAGACUUGUAUUUUUCCACAUUUGACACAACAGACAUAAGAAGCU
rnacentral:lncRNA from 1 species